GGGUAUAGCUCAGUUGGUAGAGCGGCGGUCUCCAAAACCGCAGGUCGUCGGUUCAAGCCCGGCUGCC
rnacentral:tRNA from 1 species